rnacentral:rRNA from 1 species
AUAUUUGAGAGUUUGAUCCUGGCUCAGGAUGAACGCUGGCGGCGUGCCUAACACAUGCAAGUCGAGCGAUCUCUUCGGAGAGAGCGGCGGACGGGUGAGUAACGCGUGGGUAACCUGCCCUGUACACACGGAUAACAUACCGAAAGGUAUACUAAUACGGGAUAAYAUAYGAAAGUCGCAUGGCUUUURUAUCAAAGCUCCGGCGGUACAGGAUGGACCCGCGUCUGAUUAGCUAGUUGGUAAGGUAAUGGCUUACCAAGGCAACGAUCAGUAGCCGACCUGAGAGGGUGAUCGGCCACACUGGAACUGAGACACGGUCCAGACUCCUACGGGAGGCAGCAGUGGGGAAUAUUGCACAAUGGGCGAAAGCCUGAUGCAGCAACGCCGCGUGAGCGAUGAAGGCCUUCGGGUCGUAAAGCUCUGUCCUCAAGGAAGAUAAUGACGGUACUUGAGGAGGAAGCCCCGGCUAACUACGUGCCAGCAGCCGC